AUAGUCAAGUAACUGCGCGUUAUCAAAGAUUACUCAAAAAGUAGUUAUCAAAUCUCAAUGAAAUUUAUCUGUGACCACAUGACAAACAUCAGCUUUCGAUUAAAUUAAAAAUUAUUAAAAUCGGUACACCCAGUAAAAAGUUAUUGCGGAUUUUCAAGAAGUUCCCUCGAUUUCUCUGGGAUCCCAUUAUCAGAUCCUGGUUUUCUUAUCAUGGUACUAAACUAAGGAUAUCUUCUUUCCAACAAAAAAAGAAUUAUCAAAAUCGGUACACCCAGUAAAAAGUUAUUGCGGAUUUUCAAGAAUUACCAUCAAUUUCUCUGGGAUCCCAUCAUCAGAUCCUGGUUUCCUUAUCAUGAUACCAAACUAGGGAUAUCUCCUUUCCAACAAAAAAAGAAUUAUCAAAAUCGGUACAUCCAGUAGAAAGUUAUGCGGUAUAAUACAACGUAGGUCGACGAAAAAAAGCGUCAAGUAAAAACGCAUUAUUAGAUAUAGCUCGAAAAGUAGUUGUUAGAUCUCAAAUAAAUUUAAAUGGGACCAAUUGGGAUACAUCACCUUUCGAUUAAAAGAAAAUUUGUCGAAAUCGCUCCACCCAGUCAAAAGUUCUGAUGUAACAUACAUA
rnacentral:misc_RNA from 1 species